CGUGGUCCUGUGUACGUGUGUGCAUGCACGCCUCCUCCUGCACGCGUGGACGAAUUGAACUAUAGCACUAAUCCAUAGAUUAGGCGUCCCAGUUUCAGUCAAUAACCGAUGUUAUUACUACAUGCAUGUCAUCGCCGCUGCAGGUGUUUUUUCCCCUGGUCGUUAUGUAAUUCGACUCUCUCAACCUCUUUUGUUAUCAACUGGACGGUCUGACGUCAUCAUCCAGCUCCGGGAAGGUCUGAACGGCUCGCGCCUGCUGCCUCCAGACCAGCUAACGGACGAAAACAAAACGGCAGCGGCGUUGUAGCGUUGGCUUUAGCUUAGCUAGCCGCUUACCGAGAAAACGGGGCUAGAAGGCGACACGGGUCAGUUGUACUAUCGCAACGUCUGAAUGUGUGCAGAUAAGGUAGCGCGCGUUUUUCACUGACUUGAGCUUUUUAUGCAACCCGCCCUGCUCACCAGGCACGACGAUGUCCGACGCUGCUAACACUACUUCUACAGACAACAACGGAGACUCCGGGCUAAACGGGUCUUGGGUGGAGCUGGAGAUGAACAGAGGUGCAGCUGGCUCGGCCCAGUCCUCCUCCACAGCCAGCCCAGCCUCGGGCCUGCUGCCCCUCCCUCAGGUGGAGGAAGAGGAGGCCAUGGUGGGGGGGCUAGAGCACGUCCCGUCCUCAUCUUCAAUCCACAAUGGAGACAUGGAGAAGAUCCUGUUGGAUGCGCAGCAUGAGUCGAGCCGCAGCAACUCCUCCUGCGACAGCCCUCCACGGCCCCACAGUCCCCAGGACGAAGGACAGAUCAUCUUCGACGUGGAUGUGACCGGCAGGAGAGACAGCCAAUCAGAAGAGGACGUCUUGGACAAGGAGAGGGACAUGGACAUCCUAAUGAAGGACGCAGAUUGGGUUGCUGACUGGUCUAGUCGACCAGAAAACAUUCCCCCCAAGGAGUUUCAUUUCCGUCACCCCCGACGCUCCGUAACGCUCAGCAUGAGGAAGACUGGGGCCAUGAAGAAAGGAGGCAUCUUCUCCGCCGAGUUCCUCAAAGUCUUCAUCCCUUCGCUGCUACUAUCACACAUCCUCGCUCUGGGGCUGGGAACUUUGUGGUGUUCAAAUGGAAUAAAAGGAAGUUAAACUUUGCCCAAACGUCCAGAGAAGUUUCCAAAAGACACAAGGUCAUAUUGACAGUGAGGACAAGAGCAAGAGGCUGCUCCAUUGUUUGGAUUUGACUGAUGUGUUCAUGGACAGUUUUUUAUUUGUUGAAGCAAGAAAAUGCUACUGUGAAAAAGGCAGACAGUAUGUUUCCAUCCACCUAUUUUUAUACGUAUUUUCACUUUGCACAAAAAUGAAAACUUCUAAUAUGUGUGGAAUGAUGAGACUCUUAACAUUCCUUGAAGUAAUUAAUACAUGAGGAAAAAGAUGCCAUAUUUUCAUCAUGUUUUCCACCAAUUCAUUUGCCUGCGCUUUUGACGGGUGAUUCUUUGGUUACAUCAUCUUCUUGCGCCCCUUUCCUCUGCAAUGGUGUAAUGGCACACAGCUGGAGAACUGGCUACACAACAUCUUGAUGCACCCAUCUUCUAACAUUUACGUAACAGUAGGGGAUGGGAGUGGCCAUUGAUACAAAUUUUCUUUUGCCGAUUGCCGACACCCGUGUAUGACAAGUCAAAGUCACUGCAGUGAAAAAUGUCCCCCAGCGAAGCCUCUUCCCGCAUUUUGGAAACCACUGGCUUGACAUCCAGUUAUUUUCAAGGAAUCCAUUGAAAGAGUCUAUAUUGGAAAGAGGUUGACCACGCCACCCGCCAGCUCUUUCUGAAGCUGAAACUGAAGAAAAGUGCCUGAGAAGUGGCCAUGAGUUGUUGGAGAAAGCUUUGCUGUCGUGAGAAGAACGAACGCCUGUCUUUCCUCCCUCCUUCCCUCCCUCCCUCUCUCCCGCCUGCCCCUGCUUCCCCUCCCUGAGAUAUGACAUGUUCUCAGGAGAAAUGCAUCUGCCUUUUCCCUCUUUCUCCCCUCCUCUUCCCCCACCCUUUUUUUUCUUGAUUGGCUGUUCUCUGUCUGUGGAUACCCCCUCUCUUCUCUCCCUCCUUAGAUCCUUCACUCAUUUGUAUAAGCUUUUCAAAGAAUGAAUAAGGUCACAUUUCCCUUUCCUCAGCGAUUGUGCUCGGAUGUUUAUAACGGGUGGGUUUUCAGGGAGGGUUGCAGCGUUAAACCAAACUCUUCUACCACACACACUUGCCCUUUGAUCAUUUGACAACAAGGGAGGACUGUCCAGUUUUUAGAACUGACCACAGAUUGUGCCACCUACACUAGUAGCCCAACACUCGACCCCAGAAGGGGUUCGACCAAAUUCAGAGUUGGCUACAUGAACUGAAAAAUGUGAUCAUGCCUUUUUGAAAGUAGCCAUUUUGUUCAUCUUCUUUAGCUAGUAUUGUCUUUUUUAAUUUAUUUCACAACAGUGGUGGUUUAUUGAGAAGUUGUAAUGAAAGGAGUUACCAUAGUGGCCAUCCCAAACCACAAGCGCUCAUGAUUUGCACUGGGGGAGUCUCUGGCUCUGUAUGCCAGAGGGAGAGAGAGUUAUGUGACACUUUUUCACCUUUUCUAUGACGGAAAGUAGAAAUUAAAAUCAGUUAAAUUCUGCAGCUGAGUGAAUAUUUUGCAAAGUGACAAUAACUGGAAACCAGGGUGUAGGUGUGUGUUGUGAAGGCAUGUAGUGUGUCCCUCUCUCUGUGUGUACACUAACUUAACAGUAUUUUGUGGUUGGGUCUUGGGUAACGGCGCUUGCGCAGUCUAGAAAGGUUCGGUCGUCUUUCCAGACUGUGUGUGUCCAUGUUGUCCUUCCAGUGAGCCUCCUGGUCUGUCUGCAACAUAUCGUAGAGCUGGUUUGGUCCUGACCAGUUGGUUCCCACUUACUUUUACUCCAUUGUGGGCUGGAUAUUACAUAGGACUGAGCUUAUUUUCCUUUAAGUGUGGAUUUUUAAGUUAUCAGAAAGGAUUUGGUACCAAAAAGCUUGAAAACCUGAGAGAUGGGUACUGACAUUUGUUUUCAUGAUUCUUGACUGAUUAUAUUUACAAAAGUAUAAGACAUUUCAUUGAAAACUAGAAGUGAAAUAUUUUACUUUCAAAGUAAUAGGGGAAUUAUUUUUAGACCUAUUAUUAUUGAGGGAAAAUUGUCCAGUAGUAGCCAGCCCUGCAUUCUAACACUCCAUCAUGUUUGCCAAAAUGUCAAAACAAAACAGGCAGAAAUAUUUUGUCAAGCUGCAGAUGAAGGGGGCUGACACUGAUUGGACAGGCAGAAGGCACCCAGUGAUCAUUUUUUACAUUUGUUUGUCUUCCUCAAGUGACACCUCAGACGUGCAGCAGCUUGUAAUUGACUGAAGGCAGGGUUGUUAAAAAGCACAGGUACUUGGCUAGCAUGUCCAGUGAGGUUGUGUCCUCACACUGCAUGAUUGAAAAGCUUGAUAUCAGUCAUCGACUUCACUGCAGUAUCUCUGAGGUUGGACUGUGGUUGGUUUUGUACGAGUGGACCUUCUGUAGCCAGACCUGGUUCAGUUUGAUUUAGAGGUUCAGGUCUCAUGGAACACCAGAUCUCUAGAGGUUCUUGCAUGGCCUGUGAUUCUUUUUUUGUUUUGUUUUUGUUUUUCAGUAAGCCUAUACCAUUCAGAGCUAAUUCCUAGAGAUUUGGUGUGCUGUGAGACAGCAGAUGAUUUGUCUUGAAUUCCACCAGCACCCUGUGAAAGAAAUAUUUUCAGUCAUUCAGGAACAAGAGAACUUUUUAAACGUAUUUGCAGUUUAUUUCUCCCUUUAAAGAGCUGGCUGUAGAACAGAGUACAGGUUUUGACACAGAGAGCGACACUUGUACAGGUGAAUUAUGUUGCCUCUACAUGGAACCUGCAAUGUCAUAUUUUGCAGCGUCAGUUCCCUUUUCAAAAAUGCAUCAAAAGACAGAAAGCGAACAGAGAAAAGAACAGAUACAAACUCUUAAUGAAACAAAAGAAGAAACUUAUGCACCAAAGGAAACUUAUUAGUGAGUAUUUCAUGAUUGGGAAAGUAUCUGUAAACGCUGAGCUGACUGUACUUUUCCUCACAUCAACAGCUGUCUGUUGAGUUAAAGUAAAUAGUUUGUGAACCUGUAGGUUGACAGAGAACAUGCUCUCUUCUCUUUUAACUUCAUAGACAGAGUCAUUAUCUACCAGCAGCGACCAGGUCAGGGUGUUGACUUUGCUCUCCUUGUCUCCACUUCAGCCACAGAGAUACUGCACUGUUGUUUCAUGCGACAUCCGUGUUUCUGCCUGUGUUUGUUUGUGCAGCGUUUGAAAUUGUAGAUUAUUCUUUCCUGUUUGUUAUGGGUUUUUUUCCUGAUGUUGGAGGAAGAUUAUGAACGCACAGUGUGAAAAUAAAUUCCCUAUUGUUGAGGGUGGGACCUGAUUUGAAUAGGAAAGGUGUGGAAAGAGAUUCCCCUCGGAUUGCAAUGAUCUAACAGUAGUUAUUGUAAUGAUGCAUUUGCUUUAAUUUUCUUUUUUCCCACUACAUUGGAAAAUUGAUAAACAUUUUGUCAUUAAACAUUACCUGAAUGAA